rnacentral:tRNA from 1 species
UGGAAUGUAGCUCAGUAGGAAGAGCGGAAGCAAAAAAACUUUGACGUCAGAGGUUCAAGCCCUCUCAUUCCAUUA